CUCGCACACUGUGUGAUCAUCGUUUGAGCCCAAAGUGCUAAAAUACAGGUGUAGGUGUUUGAGAAGCGCUGUAGUUGAUUAUGGACGAAAUGCCUAAUUUAAGGAGCAGAGGCGGAGUGGAAAAUGAAAAAAGCUUCACCGCAGUGGAGACUUGUUAACAGCCCUGGGGAGAAAGGGGCUUAACAGAGUCUGGAAAUCGUGAAAGAGCUUGACCGAUGAAAUGGGCCUGGCUGUCGUAUCGGUAAUUUGGUGAAUGUUGCUUAAGAUCAGCCUGGAAAGGUAGUUAGUCAGAUCCGAAGUGACAUAUUUGCACUGCCAAAGGAGGCUCUGGAGGUUAAAGUAUGUGUUUUAAUUUCGUUGUUGAGGCCAUAUAAUGCAGAGUUGACGGACCGACCUUAUGAGUCACCUUGGAGCGGAGUAGUGGAGACUUAAAGACAGACUACCCUGGAGCUGGCUUCAAACUAGUUCUUAAUAUUGUGACUCGAACUCCCCAUCCCCAGAAAUUCUCAGAUCUUAGAAGCCAAAGACUGGCAAGGAUACUAGAGGGAACUACUCGAGUAGGCGAGGUCAGACUACAUACCGAAUAGGAGUCCUUCCAAAAAUAUGCAGUUUCACAUACAGCUGGGUACUCCAAGUGUACAGUUCCCAUCAGCUCUAAUAUGGUUUGUGAGGCUUCAGUAUGAUCGUGAGUGUAAGUGGUAAGUGUUAAGAGAUCUUUUCAACUGUAAAAUAUAAUAUGUCACCUUGGAUGAGUA
rnacentral:lncRNA from 1 species